GAUGAACGCUGGCGGCGUGCCUAAUACAUGCAAGUCGAGCGAACAGACGAGGAGCUUGCUCCUCUGACGUUAGCGGCGGACGGGUGAGUAACACGUGGAUAACCUACCUAUAAGACUGGGAUAACUUCGGGAAACCGGAGCUAAUACCGGAUAAUAUAUUGAACCGCAUGGUUCAAUAGUGAAAGACGGUUUUGCUGUCACUUCUAGAUGGAUCCGCGCCGCAUUAGCUAGUUGGUAAGGUAACGGCUUACCAAGGCGACGAUGCGUAUCCGACCUGAGAGGGUGAUCGGCCACACUGGAAGUUAGACAGGGUCCAGACUCCUACGGGAGGCAGCAGUAGGGAAUCUUCCGCAAUGGGCGAAAGCCUGACGGAGCAACGCCGCGUGAGUGAUGAAGGUCUUCGGAGCGUAAAACUCUGUUAUUAGGGAAGAACAAAUGUGUAAGUAACUAUGCACGUCUUGACGGUACCUAAUCAGAAAGCCACGGCUAACUACGUG
rnacentral:rRNA from 1 species